rnacentral:tRNA from 1 species
UAUAUUUUAGUAUAUGAUGUACGGAAUUUUUUGAUAAUUCAAGAAAUAGUUUAAUUCUAUUAAAUAUAA